GAUGAACGCUAGCGGCAGGCUUAACACAUGCAGGUCGAGGGGUAUGCUUCUUCGGAAGCAGAGACCGGCGCACGGGUGCGUAACGCGUAUGCAAUCUACCUUUUACAGAGGGAUAGCCCAGAGAAAUUUGGAUUAAUACCUCAUAGUAUUAUAGAAUGGCAUCAUUUUAUAAUUAAAGUCACAACGGUAAAGAUGAGCAUGCGUCCCAUUAGCUAGUUGGAAGGUAACGGCUUACCAAGGCUACGAUGGGUAGGGGUCCUG
rnacentral:rRNA from 1 species